rnacentral:rRNA from 1 species
GACGAACGCUGGCGGCGUGCUUAACACAUGCCAGUCGAACGGAAAGGCCCUGCUUUUGUGGGGUGCUCGAGUGGCGAACGGGUGAGUAACACGUGAGUAACCUGCCCUUGACUUUGGGAUAACUUCAGGAAACUGGGGCUAAUACCGGAUAGGAGCUCCUGCUGCAUGGUGGGGGUUGGAAAGUUUCGGCGGUUGGGGAUGGACUCGCGGCUUAUCAGCUUGUUGGUGGGGUAGUGGCUUACCAAGGCUUUGACGGGUAGCCGGCCUGAGAGGGUGACCGGCCACAUUGGGACUGAGAUACGGCGCAGACUCCUACGGGAGGCAGCAGUGGGGAAUAUUGCACAAUGGGCGGAAGCCUGAUGCAGCAACGCCGCGUGCGGGGUGACGGCCUUCGGGUUGUAAACCGCUUUCGCCUGUGACGAAGCGUGAGUGACGGUAAUGGGUAAAGAAGCACCGGCUAACUACGUG